rnacentral:rRNA from 1 species
UACGAAGGGUGCAAACGUUGCUCGGAAUUAUUGGGCAUAAAGCGCACGUAGGCGGCUUUGCAAGUCGGAUGUGAAAUCCCUCGGCUUAACCAAGGAAGUGCAUCCGAAACUGCAGAGCUUGAGUACUUAAGAGGAUCGCGGAAUUCCCGGUGUAGAGGUGAAAUUCGUAGAUAUCGGGAGGAACACCAGUGGCGAAGGCAGGUCACUGGGCCGCAAC